UCUGGUGCCGAUGGCGAAGAGGUCACACCCGUUCCCAUACCGAACACGGAAGUUAAGCUCUUCAGCGCCGAUGGUAGUUGGGGGCUUCCCCCUGCAAGAGUAGGACGUCGCCAGGC
rfam:Sporosarcina sp. HYO08 scaffold_21, whole genome shotgun sequence.